UACGAAGGGGGCUAGCGUUGUUCGGAAUUACUGGGCGUAAAGCGCACGUAGGCGGACUGUUAAGUCAGGGGUGAAAUCCUGGAGCUCAACUCCAGAACUGCCUUUGAUACUGAUGGUCUCGAGUCCGGAAGAGGUGAGUGGAAUUCCGAGUGUAGAGGUGAAAUUCGUAGAUAUUCGGAGGAACACCAGUGGCGAAGGCGGCUCACUGGUCCGGUACUGACGCUGAGGUGCGAAAGCGUGGGGAGCGAACGGG
rnacentral:rRNA from 1 species